rnacentral:rRNA from 1 species
GACGAACGCUGGCGGCGUGCCUAAUACAUGCAAGUCGAACGCUUCUUUCCUCCCGAGUGCUUGCACUCAAUUGGAAAGAGGAGUGGCGGACGGGUGAGUAACACGUGGGUAACCUACCCAUCAGAGGGGGAUACACUUGGAAACAGGUGCUAAUACCGCAUAACAGUUUAUGCCGCAUGGCAUAAGAGUGAAAGGCGCUUUCGGGUGUCGCUGAUGGAUGGACCCGCGGUGCAUUAGCUAGUUGGUGAGGUAACGGCUCACCAAGGCCACGAUGCAUAGCCGACCUGAGAGGGUGAUCGGCCACACUGGGACUGAGACACGGCCCAGACUCCUACGGGAGGCAGCAGUAGGGAAUCUUCGGCAAUGGACGAAAGUCUGACCGAGCAACGCCGCGUGAGUGAAGAAGGUUUUCGGAUCGUAAAACUCUGUUGUUAGAGAAGAACAAGGACGUUAGUAACUGAACGUCCCCUGACGGUAUCUAACCAGAAAGCCACGGCUAACUACGUG